ACUGUGUAGUCAGGUUUAGUGAAUCUUCAGAGAAUUCCCCGGUUUUCCCCUAGAGAAAAUAAAAAGCUGGUUUAUUUUCCUCUGAAUUCUUAGUAACCUUCGAAUCAGUCUUUUUAAAGAUAAUUUAAAGUGGGAAAAAAAAAGUAUUAAUAACUUCAAUAUUGGCGCAUCUCGGAUUUAGAUCUAAAAACAAGUGCCAAUUGGCGGCAACUCAAGUUCGCAUCCGCGUCUUUUCUGUUGACGUAGACACAUUUUACCUGGAAUAAUUUCAGAACGCUUCAUUUGUCCUUAUCAAAAACGGACGUGGCAGAUUAGCGUGGCGUCAACAUGUGGCGACAUCCAAAUUUUCUUGUGUUAUAAAAUGGCACCAUUUCAUUUCCUCUAUCAUCGGAUUUCAGUCUUAUCACGUGAGGUCACUAAGAUCGUGUGGUUGCAUUACAGAAUAGGUUUCCUUGAGCUUUAUACUACAACUGUGUCAGACCUGUUCAUUCAAGAAGAUGAAGAUCCACCCCUAGAUAUACCUCGUUACAUAAAUCCAAGGAUGUUGUGGACUUGGAAUCAUCGUUCUAUUUUUUUCUCUCCUUUUAAACUUUGCUCAGACAGCACAAAGUUUUGAUCCGGAAGGGGGCGAGUCAAGGGCGCGUAAUACGAGAUGGAAACAAAGUGCAAAAUAUGUAAAAAUGAAAGAAAAAAAAAUAAGAUGAAAGUUCAUAGUCCAAGAGAUCAUACUGUCUCUGCUUCUCGAGAACUGGUCCAUUAAAAAAAAAAAAAAGAGAAAAUAUCAUUAAUACACCAGAUAAAAGUGUAUGUUGUUUAGUGACUGUUCUGAUCGGAUUCCGUUCGUGGGAAUACUUUGGCUGGUCAAAUUUCUGCUGUGGAAGACAUCAGGCCACCAUCACGCCAUGUAUGUUGAUUUUUUUUUUUGCUUGCGCUAUGUGAAGUCGUCGCCUUACCGUAACGUGGCUGUUACGGUCGUUGAAACAGAUAAAGAAACACGGAGAGAUAGCCGCUAGAAAAGAAAAUAACACCUUUCACUCCCAGUACCUCGUUUUAGAACACAGUCGACACGACUCGGUUUGCAUGGCAUUAACCUUUUCUUUCAAACUGGACUCAGUGGACUGGUUCCGUGUUCUGACAGAAGCGGGCGGAACAAAAAGACAGCCAAAACCUGAAUUACUGGAUUUGAGGAAAUUAAAAUGACAUGAAUUUUUAAAAACGUCAAUGCUUACCUACCAAAUUCAGGAAACCCCACAAAGGAUUAUACGUUAUGUUGCACUUACUACUUAGUCAACAUUUUCGUUCCUCGGAAACAAACUAAAAGGAUCUCUUGAUGUUGAUACGACGAAAACGAUACACUGGGUGCACUGUAUGACAUGACCUAUUGCAUAAAAUGCUUGGUCAGAUUCCGCGAUCUAACAGGAAGGAAAACAAAAAUUAUAGGUUUUAAGUAUUUUAAAUCUUAUAAUAACAACGUGUUCAAAGGCCAACAUCAUUUUGGGUCUGAAGGAUGACUGCAGUUGCUGACAGUCGUUAGAAUUGUGUCCUUGGGUAUCAAACUUCCAACAAUACAAAGAUUUAUAUAACAAAGUCCCUCGCUCACCCUGCCCAUCAAGAGCAGCACUAAAAAUACCUGAAAUUAAGCUUACCAAUGACUAAAAGUAACAUUUUGUCGGGGAGUUUCAAGGUUGUUUCAGACCCGCGGCAAGAGCGGAUCUUCAAUGCAAACGGGGUUUGUCCGAUGGAUCACCUUUGUCGACAUUACAUCCACUUUUCAGGAAGGAAAGCGUGUGCAAUAAUCAUAUCCAACGCCCAAGCCAAACACCUUUGAAAUGACUUUAUAAUAAAAGUUUUACAAU
rnacentral:lncRNA from 1 species